CAGGACUACUGCAGGCUUCCACCAAGUAAAAGCUUCGCCGUGAGGAGGCGGGACUCAGGGAGCAGAGCCUCCGCUUCGGGGAGGGGCAGGCUGGAGAGGCUGCUUCCCUCUUCCAAGGCUCCAGGUCCUCCGGUUCUGAGUCACCCAGUGCAGGAAAGUGAAAAGUGAAAGUGAAGUUGCUCAGUCAUGUCCGACUCUCUGCGACCCCAUGGACUGCAGCCCACCAGGCUCCUCCGUCCAUGGGAUUUUCCAGGCAAGAGCACUGGAGCGGGGUGCCAUUGCCCGUGGUGUGCACCAGUGAACAUAUGUGAAGAAUGUGGACACGGACUUCACAUGGCAAGCCAAACUUUCAAAUCUGGAUUGAAGCAAUACUGAAAACACUAAAGUUCAACCUCAAAGCAACUUCUUGCUUCAGUGCUGUUUAUCCCCAGGAAGACAGUUCCAAGAAACAGUGCUUCCUUUAAAGGCCAGGGAGGGACUUCCCUGGUGGGCCAGUGGCUAAGAUGCCUCACUCCCAAUGCAGGGGGCAGGGUUCGAUCCCGGGCCAGGGAACUAGAUCCUGCAUGCUGCGGCUCAGAUCCCAAUUGUUGCUGGGGCUUAGUUGUG
ensembl:lncRNA